UAGGCUUUUGAGUUCCACUUUCCUAUUGCAUUUGUUGUAUGAAAGCAGUUAUUGAAUUUCACAAUGGGAGAAUAGAGAUUACUACUAGAUAAAAAAGUCAAGUCUAAGAUAAUCCUAAACAAAGUUGAAGAAACUGCACUGUAAUUCAAUGCGUUAAGCAAAAUAUAACAUAAUAUCUAGGUAGCCAGAAUUUUGCAAAGAGAAAAAACAUCUAUAGAGCUACAAAUAGAAAAAUGCUGCACAGGUUUUAAUCUAUAUUUUAUACACAACCACAAAACUGCUAAUAGCUUGGAGUUGGAAGAAGCUACACGCAUGAAAUGAUCCAUACAUUACAACAAAAAGACAUUUACAUUGGUAUCAUCAGAAUUUACAGAUAAAUUUCAACUAAUAUUCUCUGUUAAAGAGCAGAAGGGUAUUAUGGAAGAUAGUGGGAGUUUGCAUAAUAAUGUCCCCUCAGAAAGUUGGAAUGCCAAUGUAUGCGACAAAAAAUAUUGGGAUGAAAGCAUAGAACUUCUGGCAUAUAAGAUUGAAGAUGCAUAUCCCACUAAAUCCAACUGUUUGACAUUUUUCACUCAAAAAUAACUCAUUACAAAAAGUGCGCGUUAUAUUCUUGAUUGAAAGUGCACCCCACCCUUUUGCACUUUUAUGUUGUGUAACUUUAUCUAUUCCUAUAAUCUACCCUUCCCAAGUCUAAUGUACCGAAGGAAGUAAAAAGAAAUCUAUUAACUAAAGAACCAGCAACAAUAUCUUAUUUGACAAAUAAUAAAGAAAGACCAACGAGUCAUGUCAUGAUCUCUAUAAUUUAUGGAGGGAAAGAUAGAGAAUGAAAAUGAGAGAGUGACCAAUGCAAGGACAUAGAAAUUUGUGGAGGAGAAAGAAAGAGAGAUGAUGUGGAGGAAAAAGAAAAUUUUAAUUAUAAAAAUGCAUUAUUGACACACCACAUCAGCAUUUUCGCCGGAGCAAUCAGCGGAAUCUAGUUGAAAAGAUUUUUGUAUAACAAAAAUAAAAUUAAAAGAUUUUCACAGGAGUUUUUAAAGUUUAUGCACGAAAGUGGAAUAACUCUCAAAGUUGGGAGACAGGUGGUGCAAUUAACCCAAGUAAUGCACAUUGGUAACAAGAGUAGAUUUUUAGAGAUUACUCGGGCAGAAUAAUCUUGCCAAAGAAUGCAAAAGCAUGCAUAUUCCUUAGCACAAUAAAAUACUAAUCAAG
rnacentral:misc_RNA from 1 species